GUCUACGGCCAUACCACCCUGAACGCGCCCGAUCUCGUCUGAUCUCGGAAGGUAAGCAGGGUCGGACCUGGUUAGUACUUGGAUGGGAGACC
rnacentral:rRNA from 1 species